GAUCACCAGGCAAUGUGGUGUUCAGGUCGUUCCGCGGAGGCACUGCUCCACCCUAAGUCCAAUAAUGAGAACGGUUUCUCGGACAUGGCCCAUGGAGGGUGAAAGGCCCGUGGGGGUGGAGAUCAGGUUGGCCAGUGCUGCUCUGGGGAGACCUUGGAGUCGGGUUGUUUGUGAAUGCAGCCCAAAGCGGGUGGUAGACUCCAUCCAAGGCUAAAUACAACACGAGUCCGAUAGCGAACAAGUACCGUGAGGGAAAGUUGAAAAGUACUCUGAAGAGAGAGUAAACAGUGCGUGAAGCCGUUCAGAGGUAAACAGAUAGAGUUGAACUGUGAGUUCCGAUGGUUCAGCUGGUGACUUUGGUUGAGCUUGGUCAAAAUGGUUGGGCUUUGAGGUCUGUGUAGCAACAGGUUCUUGCCUUCGGGUGAGAAUGCGCGAUGCACUCGUCGAGUGUUGUGCGCCUCAGAUGUCCCGAGCCGAGUCGCCAGUGCAUUCCGUCGGGACGGUCACCACGACCGGCACUAUCGUCUGUCUUUUGUGGUUAAACCGUGCGUGCUUCGUCCUUGUGGCUUUGUGCGUGCGGGAUGGCAGGUAGCUCAUUGGUUUGUUUACAAGCCUUUGGGUGAAAUAGCUGACUGCAAUUUGACUGUGCGUUGUGCCGGGGACGGCGGCUUGAGGUGUGUGCGUGUGUGCUAGUUUGCUGGCGUAUCCGUGUCAGGUUGCUCAGUUGCUCACCUAGUGGGCCAAGCGGCGACUGGGAUGCGUUCGGCGAGCGGUCGCGCUCGAGACACCGUUGAAGGGCCAACAGUCUGUGGUGUUGCGGUAGACGAUCUAUCUGACCCGUCUUGAAACACGGACCAAGGAGAAUAACAUGUGC
rnacentral:rRNA from 1 species